CGGGGUGAGUAAUGUCUGGGAAACUGCCUGAUGGAGGGGGAUAGCUACUGGAAACGGUAGCUAAUACCGCAUAACGUCGCAAGACCAAAGAGGGGGACCUUCGGGCCUCUUGCCAUCGGAUGUGCCCAGAUGGGAUUAGCUAGUAGGUGGGGUAACGGCUCACCUAGGCGACGAUCCCUAGCUGGUCUGAGAGGAUGACCAGCCACACUGGAACUGAGACACGGUCCAG
rnacentral:rRNA from 1 species